GAUAAAGUGGCUGAAUUAUAAGCGUUAAAUUGUAAAUUUAAUUAUGAGAUUUCUCCUUUAUCAA
rnacentral:tRNA from 1 species